AAAGGGAGACCUAAUUCGGGUAGGAGACGAAAAAAAAGUAGUCCCUACCAAGAAUCAAUCCCAAAAGGUCGGAACGAGGUAUGUGGCUUUCAAACUAGGUUCUGGGUUCAUAAAAGACCUGAAUCAGGAACAAGGGCUAUUAGCUCAGGUGGUUAGAGCGCACCCCUGAUAAGGGUGAGGUCCCUGGUUCGAGUCCAGGAUGGCCCACCUGCACAGGUGGCAAAAACAAAGAAGCGAGGAAUCAGCACCUUAUCUUACUUAUAUAGUAAGAGAGAAUGCUGGCUCUGAGUAAAGAGUCCAGAGGAACCUUGAAAACUGCAUAGAGCUAGGUGAAAAAGCCAAAAAAGAAGACCGCAAG
rnacentral:tRNA from 1 species